GCCACCUUCAUCAGGAGCGUGCCAUUGAUAUCCCACGGAAAACUAUCACCAUCAUAUCUCUCUUUCCACCUGAGUGGUGAGCUUAUGAGAGAAGAAGGGCUAUUUAUGGCGAUGAAGGAGGCCGAAAAGAGGAAUUCAAAUCAGAAAAUACUGGUACAGAACUAAAGGAAAUCAUGGAGAAAGCAGACCUGAGAAAGUUCUUGAAGAUUGUUUGGGUCAUCCUUGUAAGCAAACUGUUCGUGGAUGGAACUCUGGUGACGCGUCUGGGAUAUGAUAUCGAGGAUGGAAAGG